rnacentral:rRNA from 1 species
UACGUAGGGUGCAAGCGUUAUCCGGAAUUAUUGGGCGUAAAGAGCUCGUAGGCGGUCUGUCGCGUCUGCUGUGAAAUCUGGGGGCUCAACCCCCAGCCUGCAGUGGGUACGGGCAGACUAGAGUGCGGUAGGGGAGAAUGGAAUUCCUGGUGUAGCGGUGAAAUGCGCAGAUAUCAGGAGGAACACCGGUGGCGAAGGCGGGUCUCUGGGCCGAUACUGACGCUGAGGAGCGAAAGCGUGGGGAGCGAACAGG